AAUCCGUGUUACGGGCACUUUCUUAGGAGCUCCUUGAACCUUUCCCACGUCUCAAAUGGAGACUCUAAUUUAAACUGUACAAAAAAUGAGAUCUCAUUCCUAAGCUU